AAUUAAAUUCAUUAAUCUUUCUUCUCUCUUCCGGCCUCAAACCUCGAGUUGCUUCCCAGUUUCCUCUACCAGAUGUGCGCUGAAAAUCAAAGACCAUAAACACUCUUCUUCUUCACCUCCCUUGGGCCCCUCCUCGACACUGCGUUCAAAGUCACUGAAUCAGAGCAAAAUUUGUAAUUUUAAGAUCUUCAAUUAGGGAGAGCGUUAACACAAGGAUGUAUCUACAAAUGGGUCUUUAAGUUUGUGACUUAUUGGAUCUUAUAUGUUUGAUGCUUGAAGCUUUUUCAUUUUUGGCGUAAAGUGGGGGAUUAUGAAGCCAACGGAAAUGGAUUGUCGUGCAUUACAGAAGGAGCAAAUUAGAUUGUGGUCAGAGGAAAAAUGGAACCUGUUGUUGUUGCUGGCGACGAAGAGGGCAACAGAAGACACAACAAAAUGAGAGAGAAGAGUGUGUUCCUAAUUCUUCUUAUGGAUAAUUGGAUAAAUUAUAUUUAAUUAAGUAAUAAGAAUUGAUUAUAAAAUUUGUAAUAUUUGAAUCUGGUACGUUGAAUAUUAUAUAAUAUAUCUAAUGGUUCUAAA